UCCCCCUUCCAAAUUUCCCUGUAAGGGAGGGGCAGCUUUUUUUGUUUUGGGGGCCAAACUUCAACGUGAGAAGGGUUUCCAGGGCCAUAUGCCAGCAGUGGGAGGGAUUAAGUGCACCAAGGACAGCCAAACCAAGCAGUCCCUUUACUUACUCUGGACCCCUCCCUUUAUUUUCACAAUGAUUUUAUGAGCAGAGGAAAAUAGAGCAAUUUACCUACAAAGAAACUGAACUUCUGCAGGUACUUCCCCAGAAUUGUCCCUUUGAAUUCAGUGUAUUUAUUCCUUCUGUGUACGUACACACAUGCAUGCACAAGGUUGGGCUGUCAGGGGGACUCAUGAGUUGCAUGCCUAUCUGCUCAGAAGACAACUUACUCAGAAGUAAAAGAACUGAACUUACUGUGAGAAAGAGGAAAGACCCCCACACUCCUGAGAAAGUGUGCUCAGCAGCUUUUCCCAAACUUGUACCCUCCAGAUAUUUUGGACUAGAACUCCCAUCAUCCUUGGACACAAGGCAGAGCUUUGAACCUACGCUUUUCUGGUUUUCAUCCAACAUGUCAUUAACCAUCCACACAGAUCAUUUUCCACAAGAAGUUCUACGGAGGCAGCCUGUCCAGUGGUGAAUGAAUCUGUGGCAUCUUUGACAGGCAGAAGGUUUGGACCCGAAUUAAAGUCAUCACAAAUAUAAAUAUCCUGGCAGAAGAUUUUGAAAACAAAAAACAAGUACCCAGUUAAAACUGUGGACAAGAUCUGGGUUUAAUUCCUACUGCGACAACACAGUGACACGUGCUCUCACUUGAUGGCUUACCUAAAUGCCAAUGGCUUGACGCUUCAGGUAUCAAAGAGGCAGGCGUGGGGCUGAGUUUGGCUUUGCAAAGAGGCGCUUAUUGAACACGAUCUCUAAGACAAUGAAAGCAAAGAGGCGCUUGGAGCCACAGCACAGCCUGCAGUCAGAAAGUCUCCCAGAUAACAGUGCCAGAUAACUGAGGUUUUGCUGCAAGCACAGUAUACUGGGCUCUUUCCUCACUGUUUUUAUUUUACCUUUUCAGAGACUUAUACUACAAAUUAUCCCAGCACUGCA
rnacentral:lncRNA from 1 species